CUCACUCAAAGGAAAAUUUCAUGUGAAUGAAUUAAUUGGUGGAUUGGUCAAAUCCAUAUCUACCAACCCUUUAAAAAACAAGUCAUGCCAUGAAUCAAUUUUCUAAUGGCUUUAAUGGGGCUAGACCCCACACUCCUUUAAUAUCUUCUUCCAAACAUAAUUCCGCGAGUUACGGGAUCAAGGGCACUGGUAGUGGUUUGCGGGUAAGGCUCCUUCCUCUUUGUUAUACACCGUUAAUUUAUUGGAUAUCUACUUACUGUCCUUUCUUUUGAUAAAAGUUUCAAGUUGAGGUUCGAAUGAAUAAAUUGGUGACUUUUUUCUUUAUAUUUUUUCUGUUUCUCCUUGUUGAUUUGCUGUGUUAAAUUUGAUAAAGCUUUCUUUUAUUGCCACUAAACCUCUCAAAGACAUUUCAAUGAUUUCCAGCAUUCUGAAAUUAUUUCAUUUUGUUACUUGACAGUCUCAGAACAGACUGUUUAUACUAAUCUUGAUUUUACUUAGAUUCUUUGUUGUUAAUUUUUAAGAGAAACUAAAUUUGAAAUAUUCAUAUUUCAAAUUUAUUUCAUUAAACAACAGAAACUGCAGUGAAGAAGUAGAGAAAGAAACAUGGUAAGCAAGAAACAACAACAACAUACUGUAAAAUUCUACAAGUGAGGCUUGGGAAGGGUAGAGGGUACACAGACCAUACCACUAUCUUGUGGAGGUAGAGAGGUUGUUUCUAAAAGAAACUCGGCUCAAGGGCACCAAAUUUAGGUACAAAGAAGAAGGAAACAGUGAAAAAAACAUAAAAGUAACAAGAAAACAGUGCAAAGUCUACAAGAAGGGAGCAAAAACAACAAAAUAGUGCGAUAAUCUAAACACAACAAACAACAUACUAAGAUACAUUAUCAAAAACAAUGAUAACUAUCAAAAACAAGAACUACAAUAAUACAACUAGUACAAUGAAAAAUACCAACCAACCUAAGCAAGAAAAUGGCUUGUUAUUUCUAGCUAGAAGAAGAAAGUUGAAUAAAAGACUUUUUUUUCUUUGUCUGCUUUUUGAUUUUGCUUAUGGAUGUUCAUACUCGAACAAAGUUCACAUGGUCCAUUAUCACAAUUGAUUGGUCAAUUUUAUUCACAUAUGUGCUGACUGGUCAUUUAUGGUCACCGAGGCCCAGAACUAGCUCUACUUGUGUGUGUGCGUCUCAAAGUUAUUUUUGGCAUGGUAAAGUUAAUAAAUCGAGCCCAAGGGUAUCACUCCAUCGUCUCCAUACUCACCUCGUCAAAUGAUUGGUUUUGAUACUAGUUACUGGAUUAAACUAGCCCAAAGAUAUUUGUAACAUGGCGCGAUAUUGCUGGCCAGCCUACACGGUUUUCUCUGCAUGGUCUCACACCCAUAAGAGUAUAUCUACACGUUAUAUGUAGCUUCCCAAUCUUUUCAACGACCAAUAUAGAAGUUGUUCGCACAUUCAACAACCUGGUUUAUAUAAACCCUCUUACUUCCUACAUGGAUAAACAACUUGUUCCACACCAGUAAGAAUAAAGAUUGAAAUUCCAUUGUUGCAUUUUAGCUUCCCUCGAAUUGACAAAAUAGUAAAAGAUUUGCAAAUUUAACACAUAGAAGGAUCGAUUAUUUUAUGAAUCACAAAUUUAAAAUAACUUUCACCGAUUUGAUCUAUGAUAAUGCCCCACUUCUUCCAUCCAAGAAAAGUUUACCUAGGUGUGUUUCUCCAUUUCCUUGCAAACAGUAGAUAGAUGCUAAUGCCCUCCUUCCAAGGAAUCUGUGCAUCAGUAGAAAAAUGAAAAAGGAAGAGAAUGAUCUGUACACGGAAGGCCUUCGUGGUUCAACGCAUUGAGCUUUAAAUUUUCGAGGUGAAUAUUCUAAACAGUUUAGAGAAAUUUACUAGAAACUAAUGCCAAAAUGUGUUCAUUUACAGCAGCUCCAAAAGUUUUAAAAUUUUCAAUUUGGAGCUGAAGAAUAGAAGUAAUUUUCAAUUCUGUAAUCUAUCCAAUCCGUACAUCAGUCUUUGUUAUGAAUAAAACAAUGCAAGUACAGUGGCUUGUAGGAAAUGGCAACUGCUUCUCCCAAGAGGAUAGACUCACUUGGCCACAUCCAAGUUGAGGUUAACACACUAGAAAUCAUUUUUCUCACAAAUCAUGAUGUUUUCUCAUCUAAGUGUCUGAUCCAGCAGGAAAUUUAUAUGAAUUGAUCCAGCAUCAGAACUUCAAUGUUGUCUCCUAAAGACAAAUACAAAUAUAUAUUUCCACUAGUGCUGGUAUGGUUGACAUUCUCUUGUUUAGUGGCUUUUCUGGUCUUCAAGUCAUUUUUAGCCGCUAAAAUUUGCCAUAUUAAUUGUAUCUGAUUAACAUGAGUUCAGUUGGCAAAGAUGACAAAUGUGCCCAAGGAAUCAUAACUUGAUAUUCUCAGUUGUUGAAACAGAAUCUGGUGAGCUGCAUUUCCCUAUCCAACAACGCCAAUAUUGUGUUUAUUUCCUCUGUGUGUGGAUGCCACUUGUCUCCUGAAACAAACAUAUGAAAUUCCGCUCCUACCUGAAUCCAACUGCAUCCAGGUCUCUUCCUAAGACCCUUUUUCUUCAUCAAAUCCCUCAGUUUUGAGACUUCAUCCCAUCUUCCUGUUGUUGCAUAUGCAUUUGAAAGUGACACAUAGUGUCCUGCAUUAUCUGGUUCCAUCAUAAUUAAACAGUUAGCUAUAUGUUUCUCGAGCUCUGUCUCUCUGAGUUCUCUACAAGCCACAAGCAGUGAUUCGAAAACAUUUGCAUCAGGUUCGAAAGGCAUACUCUGAAUAAGCUGCAUAGCUUCAUCGAGAUCACCACACCUAGAGAGAAGAGUGAUAAUACAACCAUAAUGUUCCACUCUUGGCUUCAUAUGAUGCACAGUGAGCAUGUCAUAAAAAACGUCUAAUCCUUCUUUUACCAGUCCAGCAUGACAACAAGAGGAUAGCACACUGGUGAAGGUUAUGCUGUCUGGUUCCACACCUUCCUUGCAUAGACGUUUGAACAAUGCAAGUGCUUCUAUAGCACAGCCAUGUAAAGCAUAACCAGAUAUCAUAGCAUUAUACAAGGCCAACUUCUUUUCUGGAAUCAAAUCAAAGAUGCAGUUUGCACAAUUUAGACUUCCACAUUUUGUAUACAUAUCAACUAGUGAAGUUGCCACUGGAAGAGAUAAUGGAAUCUUUCGCCUUAAAAUGUAUCCAUGAAUGGAUCUUCCAUCGUGCAGUGAUGCCAUAUUUGUCGAAGCUGAGAGGGCAGCAACAAUACUUGCACUAUUCGGUCGAUACCCUGCUUGAAGCAGUUGCUUAAAAUAUGUAAGUGCCUCACUGUUGUGACCAUUUUGAGUUAGACCACUGAUAAGCGUAGUAUAAGUAACUAUGUUAGGGUCUAAACCAACAGUUUUCAUUUGUGUAAACAUGUCUAUGGCCUCAUUUAUCUGUCCAUUUCUUAAGAAUCCAAGAAUUACAGAAUUCCAAGAUAUGGUAUUUUGUGGUAAACCAUACAGCUGCAUCUGGUAAAAUAAUCUUAGCGACUCACCACUCAAGCCCACUUCUGCAUAAGCAGCCAACAAUGUAUUCCACAAGACUAAAUCUUUCUCCAUUGUGUUGUCAAAAACCCGUCUUGCAUCUGGAAUUUUCUCACAUUUGGCAUACAUAUUUAUAAUACCACUUGCUACAACUAUGUCAUUAUCAAAAGUGUUUCUCACACAAAAACAAUGCCCUUCUCUGCCAAGCUUCAAAUCCCGUAAUUCUGCUGAGGCAGAUAAUAUAGUUGAUAGUGUCACGGAGUCAAACCUAAAACCUUUUAAUCUCAUCAAACGAGACAAGUCGAGAGUCUUAUCAAUCUUACCAGACUGUACAUAACAAGACAUUAACAAGUUCCACGUUACUACAUCUUUCUCAAUCACCCUAUGGAAUAUUAGCUCAGCAUCAUUAACCAAACCAACUUUAGCAUAAAAGUUUAUAAGUGAGCUCCCGAAUAUGUUAUCCAAAUCUAAUCCACUCUUAACCGAUAUAGCAUGACCUUGCUUACCUUCAUGUAGAGCACAUAAAUUAGCCGAAGCUGAAAGAAAACUCGACAGAGUUACACGAGUCGGUUCAAUUCCUUCAUUUCUCAUAUCAUAAAAAACUCCAAUAGCUUCCUCGUUGAAUCCAUUUUGCAUAUAACUCACGAUUAGCGAGUUCCACGCUACUACAUUUUUUUCAUACAUAUAAUCAAAAACCUUUCUUGAAUCCACCAAAACCCCACAUUUCCCAUACAUAUCAAUAAGACUACUAGCCACAAAUACACAACUUUCAAAUCCCAAUUUCAAGACAUGCCCAUGAACACAUUUCCCAAACUGAACAAAAUUCAAAGCACCACAAGCUUUCAACACAUUUGGUAAAACAAAAUUAUCACCAAGAAUCUCAGUUUCUAACAUUUCAAUGUAUUUAAACAUAGCUUCUUUACACAAAUUCAUCCUACAACAUAGUCCAAUAAUUGCAGCCCAAGAAAACACAUUCUUUUUCCUCAAUCUACAAAACAAAUUACUGGAAACAUCAAAAAGAUCACAUUUUGCAUAAAAAAUUACUAGCUUUGUCUCAAUGUACUCGUUCUUGGCAUAAAAAUCACCACUUUUUAGAAUCUUGGCAUGAAUUUGCUGACCAAAUUUCAGGUUUUUUUCAUAGACACAGCCUUGAAGCAUUUCACCAUAGAAUUCAGGUCCAAUAUAUAAAUUGUUGCACUCCAUUUCUUUAAUAAAGUCCACAGAUUCUUGAAGUUUACCCUCUUUGCAUAGAGAUCCAAGGAGUUUGAUGUGGAGAACUUUAUUGUUUGUGUCAAUUUCUUGGUAUGUUAUGGAAUGAGUUUGUGGGAAUUUUGGAAGUGAUUUGGGUUUACAUGUAGGGGUAUGAGGGUUGAAGAUGGGGUUAAAGGGCAGUGAAGCCAUGCACGUAGCAGUUUAAUUGGAUAGUUUGAACCUUGAAGAAGAGUAGUGGGCAGUAUAAGAUAUGGGUGAUCAUUUUGGCCAUACAAACAAGGUUGGGGUCUUUGGUCAUUUUACCACACACAAAAAGAGUAGUACAAGUUUCUUUUCUUUUUCCCUCACUUUUUUCUUUAAAAAAUAAAUAAUACAUAAACGUGUCAUUUUAACUUGAUCUCUAUAUGCUUCAACUUUGGGGUAUAUAAAUAGUCACUUAAACUAUCAUAAAGUUGAAUAAGUAUACGUGCAUUCUACAUGGCAAUUCGUUGAGACGUCAUGUAGGACACCGUGUAGAGCGCAUCUGUCUACGAAUUUAACUUUAUGCAAAUUUAAGUAUGUACUUGUGCACACCGUAAGUUGAAGGACAUAAAUAUCAGUUGAGGUCAAGUUUAAAAGGUACACCUACGUUUUAUACUAGAAGCAAGGGAAGGGGAAAUGGAAGAUAGAUUAUAGGAAGAUGAGAAAUUGAACUCACAAAUGUGGUGAAAAGUUCUAGCCAAUUGAUUGAGCUGCUAAGAUUAUUUUUUUCCUCACAUCUGGUUAUAGUCUCAGAACAUUUCUAUUUGUAUGUUUAGCUUAGAGAAUACUAAAUUAAUCAUCAAGAUUACAAAAAUUACUUAUCUCAAGUUGCACAUCAUUUUAUAAAAUUAAGAUAGACUUAAUCAUUUUUACUCUUAGUAUUAAUUAUUUUUAAAAAUUAAAUAAAAAAAUUCUGACUUUUUUUGCCUUAUUUAAUUCGACUUUCGACUUUCCUUUUCCAGUGAGCACCACUAAGAUACAUGCCAGUGCCAAGAGACGAAGCCUAACAAUGCAGUUUAUUUCUUGUUUAUCCAUGUCUAUAUGCUUUAUGAUUCACAUUAACAUAAGAACAUUCGAUUUGUUUUUUGGGGAAAAGAAGAGCUUUAAGUUAGGUCAAGUCUCUUUUAACUUCCAAUUUAUGUAUCUACAUGCUUUCCG
rnacentral:lncRNA from 1 species